CUUUGAAAUUGUACCUUUGUCAGAGCUGCAAUGCCUAUGUUCGGUUUACAUGCAUCACUGCAUACAUCACAAAACAAUGUAAUGGUUAUCAAAACUACAACCUUCCAUUAAAAGGACAACUAGUUGAGGCAUGCUAUUGAGGAGAGAGUCCACAAAUUCACUUCAAAUCACCGAUUAAGUUUUGUGUUCAUGGCAGAUUAUUUCAGCUGGAGCCCAUUAAAUCUUUACAACUGCUUCAAUGUUUUCAUAUAAAAUAUUAUUCAUAGGCUACACGAAUGACUUGCUUUCCCACAUUUUUACCAGAAAAAAGCCCAGCCAAAGCAGCUGGAGCACUUUCCAGCCCCUCAUUCAUGUCUUCGAUGUAAACAAGCUUCCCUUGCCGGUAGUUAUUAAUAACGUGUUCCAAGAAUUUUGGAUAAAGAUGCAAGUAAUCACUUUGCAAGAAUCCCUGCAUCCUAAUCCGUUUAGUUAGAAGAUUGAACAAGUUGCGAAUCCCUUGGGGAUCAGAGAGACUGUGCAAAGACACCAUUCCACAGACUGCAAUUCGGCCACUAAUCCUCAUGUUGAGCAAUGCAGCAUCAAGCAUGUCUCCACCCACAUUAUCAAAGUAAAUGUCAAUGCCUUCUGGAAAAUACCUUUUCAAAGUGGCAUCCAGGUUGGGCUCUUCUUUGUAGUUGAAAGCCUCAUGAAAUCCAAGCUUAUUCUUUAAAAGAUCAACCUUUUGGCUUGUCCCAGCACUUCCAACUACAUAACAACCAUGUNAACCAUGUAACUUGGCAAGCUGACCAACAAGCUGGCCAACAGCUCCUGAAGCUGCAGACACAAACACAUAAUCUCCUUUCUUAGGGGAACAGACCUCAUAGAAUCCUGCAUAAGCU
rnacentral:misc_RNA from 1 species